UUCCGUGCUUCAAAGCUGGCUGCAGAAGGGCGGUCGUGAACUAGGCAGAGUCCAUCCUUAGUUGCAGGAUGUAGAAUAGACAAGGACAGGACCAGGCACAGAGGAAAGGCCCCUCACCCAGCGUGGGGCUUCCUUUCGACUGCAGGGGCCCUCUCAAUUCUGAGUCCUAUGCCACGCAGCUCUCCUCAUGGCAACAUCACAGAAGUCCUAGAAGCAGCCCUGCUGGCCUUGCUGAAAGCCUGCCUCCAUCAUCUCUACAACUUACAGCACCUGCUCCCAAUAGCAGUAUCCAGCUAACAGAGGACAAGGGCGUUGAGGGUCAUGUCCCAGGGCUGCUCCAGCCAGAGGCAAGGGAGAACCACUCAGAGAAGGAAGGCACAGGCAACUUCAAGAUUGCCAUGGUCUCCAGAUAACUGGUGGAAACUACAUUUGUCCAGAGGACAGAGGGCCCAGGAUGCUGCUCAGCCUCCUUCCUCCCCAAGCUGAUCCCUCAUUUCAACUAAAUCAAGCUUCUCGACAAAGUGCUGUCCACCUGCGGCCUCACCACACAACCCCAAAACCCAGCUCCCACCCUUCUAAAGUGCCCCCAACAGCAUCUAACCCUGCUGGCCACUGCCACCUCUCACUUCUCAAAUUUCUCUCCUCCUUAACACACCUCAUGAAUUAUCAUUCCUCUCUGACAGCUACUUGUUUCCUUCAAAGCUUCCACUUGGGACUGGCCCUGUGGCCGAGUGGUUAAGUUCGCAAGCUCUGCUAUGGCGGCCCAGGGUUUCACCCAUUCGGAUCCUGAGCAUGAACCUAGCACCACUCACCAGGCCAUGCUGAGGCAGCGUUCCACAUGUCACAACUAGAAGGAUCCACAACUGAAAAUAUACAACCAUCUACUGGGAGCUUUGGGGAGGAGGAGGGAAAAUAAAAUCUUUUAAAAAAACAAAUAAAAAGCUUCCACUUCCUCUUUCCGACACAUCCAAACACAAUCCUUCAUUCUUAACCCAGGAACGCACCCCGACCCCCAACACUUCCUGCUACACCCAACUGCAGCUUCAGGAUCUCUCAACUCCAGCUUAUACGACCUUCCUAAUCUUAUCCAGACUCCCAACAUCUCCACUGACUCCUGAAAACUUGAAGCUCCACUGUCUGUCGCAUCUCUUAUUCCAGGUUUGAAACUUGUGAUUCUUUUUAAAAUACACUUCUAAUUUUUUUAACAUUAUAAAAUUUUAAAAUGCAUAUUAAUCUUAGAAAAUACAAACAAGCAAAAAUUUACAAACAGAAAUCACCCACAAUACCACCUCGGAAGGAAACCAUUUCAUUUUGAGACAUCCAUCCAGUUGUGGGUUUUAUGCAAACACAUUUCACGUUCUUUCAGAAGAUGGGGAGCCGUGCAUAUUGUUUUAUAACCUACAUUUCUCAUGAAAAAAUACAAUAAUCUGUUAAAGCCACUUAAAAAUAACUGAAAU
rnacentral:lncRNA from 1 species